CUACACCCGGUUCACCACCAAACCUAAAUACAAUAUAAUAAAUUCACACGCACACAGUUAAUUACGUACAGGUCUCUAUAAAUAUAGUAAAUUACAAAUAUAUUUCUAUAAAGUUCAACUUUUAUAUGUUGUUCCUGCGAAAGUCAAAGUCCUGAUAUUUUCAAAUAUAUUUCUAUUAUUAAAAUUCGUUAGAAAAAUUUAGGUAACCAUAAGUAAAAUACUUUUAAUCCCGGUUAGUUAAUGCGGUGAAUUGACCUCUUUUUCCCUAUUCAAUUAACCGUUCGAAUUUUCGGAAAAAUAUAUUUGCGAUGGCAAAAAGGUUAUUUCAUUUAUAAAAUAGACGGUGCUUUAACGAUAACACACCGGAGAAAUAUAUUUGAGAACAUUAAUAGGAGUUUUGUUGGAACAUAUGAAAGUUAAACUUUGUAGCAAGGAUUUAAGUGUCGUGGUACAGGAUCGUGUUGGAAACUUGCCGACACGGUACAGCACAGUACGUGCCGAGUCGUGCCGAUGCGUGCCGGUCAAAAAAAUUCUUGUGUGCCGACACAUAAUAAUAUGAAAUAUUUAUUUUCUUUAAUAACAAAAUAUUCUAAAUAUUUAUUAUGUCUUUUUAUCACAUCUUUUGAACUUUAUCGAAAAAAUUACUUACUAAUUUAAAGAAUAGAGGGUUUUGAGCUAUCCCAUCGGCACGAGAUCUCUAUCGUGCCGAUAUCUUAUUGGCACGAUGAAUACGACCUGUGUCGAUGGGCACUUAAGAUCUUUCUUCGUAGAGGUAUUUUUACAAUUCACUACAUUUACAAAAAAACUAUAUAAAAUUAACCCAAAAAGGAAAAACUUAGCAGUAAUAUCAUUUAAGUAUUCUAUAAUUUUU
rnacentral:lncRNA from 1 species